GUAUAUUUGGAGCAGCUCUAGCUGGAGCAUCAGUCGAAUCCCUGCUAAUAGAUCACUGAAAUCUGGUCCAGACCAUACAGUGCUUUCUCGAAAGUAAGCUGUCCACUCUUAAAAUUAUUUCUUCCAGUGAGACAUCAUUGGCAAUCUUCCCCUUGCCUUGCUCAUCAAGAGGACGGUAAGGAGGUCCACUAUUGGAAGUUUGGCAUGGAAGCAGGUAUAUUCAUCAUGCCACAGGGAGAGUCUAUGCUAGCUCAAAAGACUUGGCUUCUUACAUGUCAAUUAACCGGAUCAGAGCAAACGUAAACCUCAAGAAGAUACAGAUCAAGAGAAGCCAAUUGCAUGCUUAAGCAAAUUAAAGGGUGAGCAAGAAGGAUGCUUGAAGCUUAUAUUGAUU
rnacentral:lncRNA from 1 species